CGGUGACGGUGGUGUGUGAGGUGUUGUACCUGGAAGUGGAGGUGGUGAGUGCAGCAGCGGUUCCGGAAGUGGUGUCGCCGGCGGAGGCGGAUGUGACGUCAUCGGUGGGGUCUCCGGCCGUGUCUUCAUGGUCAAUGGCGGCGGGGCAGACAACAUCAGGUGAAGAUGUGCGUGAUUUUAGCAAGGUGCUGAAAAAUAAGUUCAGAUCAAAGAAAUACUUUGCCAAACAUCCUCGCUUGGGUUAUUUACCAGUACAAACAGUUCUAGAAGGCGAGAACCUUGAGACUGGAUCUGUUGGAGUUGCACACAGCGCAACGCGUCUUUGAUCAACACAAAUUGACACAAACCGAGCAACUUCUGAAUGUGACUGAAGUAAUCAACUGUUUAACGUCCAUUUAUGAUGUUUUGGAACAAAACCACAAGGACUUGGUCAAUGUGCCACUCUGUGUCGACAUGUGUCUGAACUGGCUGCUGAACGUAUUUGAUACGGGUAUGAGUGGAAGAAUCAGAGUGCUUUCUUUGAAAAUUGGCUUGACGUGACUCUUCAAGGAUCAUCUAGAGGAAAAAUACAAGUAUCUCUUCAAACAAGUCGCUGAACCCACAGAUUUAUGUGACCAACGAAGCCUGAGUCUUUUGCUUUACGAUGCAGUCCAGAUCCCUUGGCAGCUGGGUGAGGUAGCUUCAUUUGGAGGCUGCAACAUUGAACCAAGUAUCCGCAGUUGCUUCCAACAUGGCCAGAACAAACCAGAGAUUGAUGUUGAACGCUUUGUCGAGUGGAUGAGAUUGGAGCCUCAGUCCAUGGUGUGGCUGCCUGUUCGACACCGUGUGGCAGCUGCUGAAACUGCAAAACAUCAGGCUAAGUGUAACAUCUGCAAAGAGUACCCAAUCGUAGGUUUCAGGUACCGCAGUCUCAAGCACUUCAAUUCUGACAUCUGCCAAAGCUGUUUCUUUUCGGGGCGCACAUCAAAGGGACACAAGUUACAUUGCCCCAUGGUGGAGUACUGCACUCCGAACCUACCCCGGAAGAGAGAGCCCAGAGAAUUGCCAAAGCUGUCCGCAAACAGUCAAUAGAAGUGAAAGAAACUUGGGAGCAAUUGAAAACCCAUGCGAGCAACUGGCAGAAACAGGUGGAAAAGGUGUUGGAGAAACUUCAAGAACUGCAGAAAGCUCUGGAUGAUCUUGAGGCUCAUGUGAUAACAGCUGAAGGGGUCCGCACUGAUUGACAACCUGUGGGUGAACUGCUUAUUGACUCAUUGCAGGAUCACAUUGAUAAAACCACAGUUCAGCUAGGAUCCAGCUGUGCUUAGUUUCAAUUUGGCUUUGGAUCCAAUCUAAUAAUACUGUAAAGGAAUAUAAGAACCAAGGGCAGGAGAAGACUGUGCAGCCCACUGUGCCUGCUUCCUCAUUCACUACAAUUGUGGCUCAUCUUGGGCUUCAAAUUUGCUUUCCUGCUUGCUCCCUGAGUCCCUCGAUUCCCUGAGAGAAUGAAGGUAAAUUUUGUUCUUAAGUACAUUCAGUGAAAACACUUGAUAUAUAUUUGAUUUUAUCAUUAUGAGCCUGUUUUGAGCAGCAUUUUCUUGGGACGUAAAUUUUUUUUGGAUUUGUCACAAUCUAUAUUGGAAGAGCCUACUAGAGAUUGAACCCCACUAUUCCAUAAAUAAUUGUAAAUAUGACGAGUGUAACCUCAAGGAUUGUUAAUGUCUGACUGUUACCGUUAUUGAGGAUAAAAGAAAUUUUCUCCAGGCUUCAUCAAUUAAUGGGGGAAAAAGUACAUUUAUUAUUUUAAAUGUAUUCUUUAACAAGUGACAAAGUGGAUUAUUAAUGAUGAACAUGUAAACUUAAACCAUUCUACAUUCAGGUGCAGACAUGCAUACACUUGUCACCAAUAAGGUGGCAGGAUAGUCAAGAUGAACAGUUAUUCUGCAGUAUCGUGGGUGGGAGAUAUCAGUAAAAAGAACAAACCCUGCAGAACAAGACUCUCAGCCAAAAGCGGGGUAAAUGAGGUGACUUUCUCACAGUUCCUCUGCUUUUUGACAAUGGUGUCGUGUCACCGAUCACCACAUUGAUCCUCAAUUUGACAGUUGAUCAAUUGAACCUAUGUCUGGGCUUGGAUCAGAAAAAGGCCUGAUUCCACACUGUAGGCAUUCUAACACAAGUUUGAUUUGUGUAUGCUGAAAAGAUUUUGGGCCAGAAAGUCCUCAGCAAAGACAUUUUGGUUGAGAGUUAUGUGCUGUGUUGAAUUAAUGUAGCGACUGCCACCCACUGUUGUAGAGUAUAGCUGAAAAACAGAUGAGUAUGGAGGAACUGAUGGGUACAUCUCCAGCAAGGUAACAGCCUUUCAGGAAAAUUGCGCAAGUAACUAGUAAAAUUUGAGUGAGAUUUUUUGGUAAAUUAUUCUUUAACUGAAGUGCGGAAAAAUGUGAGCUCAGCGAUUUUUUUUUGGUGAUCAACUUCGACUCCAUUAUCCUGCAUCACAAUCAAAUUCUAAUAUUUCUGAACUGAAGAAUCAUAGAAUUUUACAGUAUAGAAGGUGGCCAUUUGGCCCACUCUGUCUGUACUGGCUCCUGAAAGAGCUACCCAGCUGUGUCUCUGUAGGCCUCUAAAUUCAGCACUUUCAAAUAUAUAUCUCAGGAAGGGU